rnacentral:rRNA from 1 species
UACGAAGGGGGCUAGCGUUGCUCGGAAUCACUGGGCGUAAAGCGCACGUAGGCGGCUUUUUAAGUCAGGGGUGAAAUCCUGGAGCUCAACUCCAGAACUGCCUUUGAUACUGGGAAGCUCGAGUCCGGAAGAGGUGAGUGGAACUGCGAGUGUAGAGGUGAAAUUCGUAGAUAUUGGGAGGAACACCGGUGGCGAAGGCGACCGCCUGGACGAUGACUGACGCUGAGGCGCGAGAGCGUGGGGAGCAAACAGG